rnacentral:rRNA from 1 species
GACGUAGGGUCCAAGCGUUGUCCGGAUUUACUGGGCGUAAAGAGCUCGUAGGUGGUUUGUCGCGUUGUUCGUGAAAACUCACAACUCAAUUGUGGGCGUGCGGGCGAUACGGGCAGACUGGAGUACUGCAGGGGAGACUGGAAUUCCUGGUGUAGCGGUGGAAUGCGCAGAUAUCAGGAGGAACACCGGUGGCGAAGGCGGGUCUCUGGGCAGUAACUGACGCUGAGGAGCGAAAGCGUGGGGAGCGAACAGG